GUGGGGAAUAUUGCACAAUGGGGGAAACCCUGAUGCAGCGACGCCGCGUGAGUGAAGAAGUAUUUCGGUAUGUAAAGCUCUAUCAGCAGGGAAGAAAAUGACGGUACCUGACUAAGAAGCCCCGGCUAACUACGUGCCAGCAGCCGCGGUAAUACGUAGGGGGCAAGCGUUAUCCGGAUUUACUGGGUGUAAAGGGAGCGUAGACGGCUUUGCAAGUCUGACGUGAAACUCCGGGGCUCAACUCCGGAACUGCGUUGGAAACUGUAAGGCUUGAGUGCCGGAGAGGUAAGCGGAAUUCCUAGUGUAGCGGUGAAAUGCGUAGAUAUUAGGAGGAACACCAGUGGCGAAGGCGGCUUACUGGACGGCAACUGACGUUGAGGCUCGAAAGCGUGGGGAGCAAACAGGA
rnacentral:rRNA from 1 species